rnacentral:tmRNA from 1 species
GGGCUUGUACUGGUUUCGACGGGGGUUUUGAAGUUAGGGAAGCCAUCCGCGGUGCGGACCGCGUAAAAACUGCAAAUUAAAAUUAAACGCAAACGAUAAUUUAGCGUACGCUGCCUAGUGGCAGCAGUCGGCUUUAAGUCGCUCACUGCUUAAACGUCCGGCUUCAACAAGGUGAGGCACUUCGUUUCCUAAGCUUUGCGGAAAUGGAAGAAUUUAUGAAGCUACUAAAACAGGCAGCCUGUCAUUAGGCGGCUUGUGGAGGGAAUGUCAAAAUAAUGACUGUGAUGGGAGAUGCCUUAAGGGAUAGGCUUUCGGACAGGGGUUCGAUUCCCCUCAGGUCCAU